rfam:Armatimonadetes bacterium RBG_16_67_12 RBG_16_scaffold_8371, whole genome shotgun sequence.
CCCCGAAAGGGCAAACCCAUCGUGAGGUGGGGGCGCAAAGCUACGGGACCAGUGACGAGGUUGGCCGGGCUGCCGAAG